GACGAACGCUGGCGGCGUGCUUAACACAUGCAAGUCGAACGGAAAGGCCCUGCUUUUGUGGGGUGCUCGAGUGGCGAACGGGUGAGUAACACGUGAGUAACCUGCCCUUGACUUUGGGAUAACUUCAGGAAACUGGGGCUAAUACCGGCUAGGAGCUCCUGCUGCAUGGUGGGGGUUGGAAAGUUUCGGCGGUUGGGGAUGGACUCGCGGCUUAUCAGCUUGUUGGUGGGGUAGUGGCUUACCAAGGCUUUGACGGGUAGCCGGCCUGAGAGGGUGACCGGCCACAUUGGGACUGAGAGACGGCCCAGACUCCUACGGGGGGCAGCAGUGGGGAAUAUUGCACAAUGGGCGGAAGCCUGAUGCAGCAACGCCGCGUGCGGGAUGACGGCCUUCGGGUUGUAAACCGCUUUCGCCUGUUACGAAGCGGGAGUGACGGUAAUGGGUAAAGAAGCACCGGCUAACUACGUG
rnacentral:rRNA from 1 species